AGAAUUUGAUCUUGGUUCAGAUUGAACGCUGACGGCGUGGAUGAGGCAUGCAAGUCGAACGGAGUUAUUUGGAGCUUGCUCUGGAUAACUUAGUGGCGAAAGGGUUAGUAAUGCAUGGGUAACUCACCUUUAACUUGGGGAUAACGGUUGGAAACGACCGCUAAUACCGGAUGUGGUGAUAGAGAGGCAUCUUUUUAUCAUUAAAGAGGGGGAUCGCAAGACCUCGCGGUUAGAGAGAGGCCCAUGUGAUAUCAGCUUGUUGGUAAGGUAACGGCUUACCAAGGCUAAGACGUCUAGGCGGAUUGAGAGGUUGACCGCCAACACUGGGACUGAGACACUGCCCAGACUCCUACGGGAGGCUGCAGUCGAGAAUCAUUCGCAAUGGGCGAAAGCCUGACGAUGCGACGCCGUGUGAACGAAGAAGGCCUUCGGGUUGUAAAGUUCUUUCGCUUAGGAACAAGAGAACUCGACUAAUAAUCGGGUAAUUUGAGGGUACUAGGUAAAGAAGCACCGGCUAACUCCGUGCCAGCAGCUGCGGUAAUACGGAGGGUGCAAGCGUUAAUCGGAUUCAUUGGGCGUAAAGAGGGCGUAGGCCGGAAUUCAAGUCAGAUGUGAAAUCCCAGAGCUCAACUCUGGAACAGCAUCUGAGACUGUAUUUCUUGAGGUUAGACGGAGAAAGCGGAAUUCCAUAUGUAGCGGUGAAAUGCGUAGAUAUAUGGAGGAACACCCGUGGCGAAGGCGGCUUUCUAGUUUAGUCCUGACGCUGAGGCCCGAAAGCUAGGGGAGCAAACAGGAUUAGAUACCCUGGUAGUCCUAGCCGUAAACGAUGUAUACUUGAUGUAAUUGGACUCAACCCCAUUUGUGUCGAAGCUAACGCGAUAAGUAUACCGCCUGGGGAGUACGCUCGCAAGGGUGAAACUCAAAAGAAUUGACGGGGGCCCGCACAAGCAGUGGAGCAUGUGGUUUAAUUCGAUGCAACGCGAAGAACCUUACCCAGGUUUGACAUGCAGAGGACCGCGUUAGAGAUAACGUUUCCUGUAUAGGCUUCUGCACAGGUGCUGCAUGGCUGUCGUCAGCUCGUGCCGUGAGGUGUUGGGUUAAGUCCCGCAACGAGCGCAACCCUUAUCGUUAGUUGCCAGCGAGUAAUGUCGGGGACUCUAACGAGACUGCCUAGGUUAACUAGGAGGAAGGUGAGGAUGAGGUCAAGUCAGCAUGGCCCUUAUGCCUGGGGCUACACACGUGCUACAAUGGUUGGUACAAUAGGUAGCGAAGCCGAGAGGUGGAGCAAAUCCAAUAAAGCCAGCCUUAGUUCGGAUUGGAGUCUGCAACUCGACUCCAUGAAGUUGGAAUUGCUAGUAAUGGCGCGUCAGCAACAGCGUCGUGAAUACGUUCCCGGGCCUUGUACACACCGCCCGUCACAUCAUGGAAGUUGGUUUUACCCGAAGUCACUGACUCAACCGCAAGGGGAGAGGUGCCGAAGGUAAGGCUGAUGACUGGGAUGAAGUCGAAACAAGGUA
rnacentral:rRNA from 1 species